rnacentral:rRNA from 1 species
UACGUAGGUGGCAGGCGUUGUCCGGAUUUAUUGGGCGUAAAGCGAGCGCAGGCGGUUUCUUAAGUCUGAUGUGAAAGCCCCCGGCUCAACCGGGGAGGGUCAUUGGAAACUGGGAAACUUGAGUGCAGAAGAGGAGAGUGGAAUUCCAUGUGUAGCGGUGAAAUGCGUAGAUAUAUGGAGGAACACCAGUGGCGAAGGCGGCUCUCUGGUCUGUAACUGACGCUGAGGCUCGAAAGCGUGGGGAGCAAACAGG